GCGCUAUCGCGCCACACGCUGAAAGGCGCGCUUAGAAGAGUAGCGUCGAGCCAAGUUCCUAACCCCCAGAUAGAACAGGGGGUUGAUUCCACCAAGACCCCAGGAUGGGAAAGCAGAGGUGGAGAGGGCGAACCCAGGAACGGCAAGCGAGAAAAGGAACAGUCAGAGAUGAGCGGCUCGUGGCUGAAGAGAGACACACUGCACACUAAGCCAGGGGUCCCCUACUCGAUGGGCUUGGCAGGUCUUUCUGAACCCCGCAACCUACACCAACUGCACAUGGCGUGGGAGAGAGGAAGGAUGGAGGAUGGAGAGGAGGCAGCCGAGGCCCCGGGAACGAGUAUGAGGCUCUGCGAGGCGGCCGCAGAAGACUGAUCGCUGCUCAGAGACACCACGAGCCGCACGCGCCCACACCCACACUCACCUGCUGGGACCACGUGGGACAAUGUGAAAGGCUGGUCCCUGCCGCGUGCAAACCCAGAGCAAUUUUUAACUCUCUCCCUGACUAGAAUAAGACUCGUCUCCGAGGCAUCAGGGACUGCGAAGUAUAAAAGGUCAAAUGCUGGAUGAGAGUGAAUGGUUGAGAAUUGUUCCCUGGGACUGUAUUCCGACUCCGUUUGGUGCAAAUGAUUAACUACCGUAUGAAAAUAAAAGGUGUAAGUAGG